GACGAACGCUGGCGGCGUGCUUAACACAUGCAGGUCGAACGGAAAGGCCCUGCUUUUGUGGGGUGCCCGAGUGGCGAACGGGUGAGUAACACGUGAGUAACCUGCCCUUGACUUUGGGAUAACUUCAGGAAACUGGGGCUAAUACCGGAUAGGAGCUCCUGCUGCAUGGUGGGGGUUGGAAAGUUUCGGCGGUUGGGGAUGGACUCGCGGCUUAUCAGCUUGUUGGUGGGGUAGUGGCUUACCAAGGCUUUGACGGGUAGCCGGCCUGAGAGGGUGACCGGCCACAUUGGGACUGAGAUACGGCCCAGACUCCUACGGGAGGCAGCAGUGGGGAAUAUUGCACAAUGGGCGGAAGCCUGAUGCAGCAACGCCGCGUGCGGGAUGACGGCCUUCGGGUUGUAAACCGCUUUCGCCUGUGACGAAGCGUGAGUGACGGUAAUGGGUAAAGAAGCACCGGCUAACUACGUG
rnacentral:rRNA from 1 species